rnacentral:lncRNA from 1 species
CGCACCAGCAGAACAGGCAUGACUCUGACAUGAAGAUGAUGUCGAACUAACACUGCUCAACCUUAAGUGCCCCAUUUCCUGGUUGGGCUGGAGAGGAAGCUGCUGAUGGUUGGUUGGUACUUCUGCCAUGGAUGAUCCUUUUGCGUCGUCUGCUCUGAUCAGUGACGGUGUAUCUGCUAUAGCUAAGCUAGCUAGGAGAGUUAGGGUUCAUGGUCUCACCUGCUGUUGUUUCCCCCCCAAGUAAGAUUAAUUUAAUUCGAAUUAGCCGCCGUUGUAAUGCUGUAGCGUUGUCCUAAAGUCUGUCAGCCCCUAAC